UCCGUGUUUGUCCAUGGGGGAAGGGCCACCUGAGGACACAAUGCAUUUUUAUGUCUAGAGUGAUUGUGUCUCAUAGUAUGACCAUGAAAGGACUCUCCUCAUACGCAAUGUCACACACAUGCUCCCACCUGAGGAGGAAGGGAAACUGAAGAAAAACUAUUCUGUACAGAAACACUCAACCAGGACAUUCCCUUUCUCCUGACCUGAGCUCACUUUUUGUAUAUUCAAGAUGACAAAAGUAUUGGGCAAUUUAGGAUCUGGGAGUCACUUUGAGGACCUUAGAUCCAGCAGCCAUAAACAUUGAUGACUACCGGAGAGGUCAGACUGCACUGAAAGCCCCUGUCUUCACAGCCCUGUGUUGCCUCAGGCCAAUUUAGCAAGGAGUGAUGCUGUGCUCAGGCUCUCCCCACUGGGCCUAGGAAGAAUCUUCAGUUAUGAACAGACACAACAAUGGCAAGAUGGUGAUGGUGUGAAAGUUUCUGUAGUUUUGAAGAACAUGAAAAAAAAAACAAAUAAAAACCAAUCCCUAUAGGU